rnacentral:rRNA from 1 species
GAAAACUCCGGUGGUAAUGGAUGGGCAUGCGUUGUAUUAGUUAGUUGGUGGGGUAACGGCUCACCAAGACAACGAUACAUAGGGGGACUGAGAGGUUAACCCCCCACAUUGGUACUGAGACACGGACCAAACUCCUACGGGAGGCAGCAGUGAGGAAUAUUGGUCAAUGGACGCAAGUCUGAACCAGCCAUGCCGCGUGCAGGAAGACGGCUCUAUGAGUUGUAAACUGCUUUUGUACGAGGGUAAACGCAGAUACGUGUAUCUGUCUGAAAGUAUCGUACGAAUAAGGAUCGGCUAACUCCGUGCCAGCAGCCGCGGUAAUACGGAGGAUUCAAGCGUUAUCCGGAUUUAUUGGGUUUAAAGGGUGCGUAGGCGGUCGGAUAAGUUAGAGGUGAAAUCCCGAGGCUCAACUUCGGAAUUGCCUCUGAUACUGUUCGGCUAGAGAGUAGUUGCGGUAGGCGGAAUGUAUGGUGUAGCGGUGAAAUGCUUAGAGAUCAUACAGAACACCGAUUGCGAAGGCAGCUUACCAAGCUACUUCUGACGUUGAGGCACGAAAGCGUGGGGAGCAAACAGGAUUAGAUACCCUGGUAGUCCACGCAGUAAACGAUGAUAACUCGUUGUCGGCGAUACAGUGUCG